UACGGAGGAUGCGGGCGUUAUCCGGAUUUAUUGGGUUUAAAGGGUGCGUAGGCGGCUUUUUAAGUCAGCGGUGAAAUUUUGCAGCUUAACUGUAACAGUGCCGUUGAUACUGGGGAGCUAGGAUUUGGUCGCUGUGGGUGGAAUGUGUGGUGUAGCGGUGAAAUGCUUAGAGAUCACACAGAAUAUCGAUUGCGAAGGCAGCUCACAAAGCCAAGAUUGACGCUGAGGCACGAAAGUGUGGGGAUCAAACAGGAUUAGA
rnacentral:rRNA from 1 species